AAUAAAAUUCUGCAAUCUUUAAAUUUGGCAUGGAACGCGAUAAGUUCAGUGGAUUGCACUAAACAUCUUGCUAAAUACGUGAAAAAGUCGCAGUCGUUGCAAUUUCUUGAUUUAAAUAGUAACAGAUUGACAGGACCACCAUUAAAGAAAAUACGAAUAGCUCUUAGAAGAAGUAAAUCCUUGUUAGCCGCAAAAUUAGGAAACAAUCCAAUAAAUCCCGAUGAUGCAGUAACUCUUGGAAAAGCCCUGGCCGACGGAAAAAGUAUUAAGUUUCUCGAUUUGGAAAACGUGUUUGUCGAAAAAUCAUUUAUACCGGAAUAUACAGUAAUUACGUAAUUCGUGGUCCAGAUGAAAUGAAACUUAUGUUUCAAAGAGCAAUAUUCUUAUGUUUGAAACCGAAAAAGAAAAAGAAACAAAGAAAUUUUGGGCAUGUUGUCCUUUCCCUACCUGAUAAAGUUGAUAUGCCUCGACAAGAUUUCGAUGUGUUUGCAAAAAAA
rnacentral:lncRNA from 1 species